rnacentral:rRNA from 1 species
GACGAACGCUGGCGGCGUGCCUAAUACAUGCAAGUCGAACGCAGUGGGGACGGGUGAGUAACACGUGGGUAACCUCCCAUCAGAGGGGAUAACACUAGGAAACAGGUGCUAAACCGAUACUGAUGGAUGGACCCGCGGUGCAUAAGCUAGUUGGUGAGGUAACGGCUCACCAAGGCACCGAUGCAUAGCCGACCUGAGGUGGUGAUCAGCCACGCUGGGACUGAGACACGGUCCAGACUCCUACGUGAGGCCGCAGUGUGGAAUAUUGCACCAUGGGCGCGAGCCUGAUGCAGCCAUGCCGCGUGUAUGAAGAAGGCCUUCGGGUUGUAAAGUACUUUCAGCGGGGAGGCGUUACCCGCAGAAGAUGCCCCGGCUAACUCCGUGCCAGCAGCCGCGGUAAUAC